CAAUGGGGUCGCACGACCCCUUGGAAGCCAUGGAAAUAACCUUAGAGCUGCUGGUGCGACCCCUUAAAGCUGCUGGUGCGACCUCUUGGAGCUGCUGCAUUUUUUUGGGUUUCUUCUGGUUUUCGUUCGGUUUGACGGAAGAGGAAGACGAAGACGAAGACGUUCUCUCUCUUCCUUUCACACCACGUGACCACACACUCUUCUUAUUUAAUUUUUUUUCUUAGUUUCUCUCCAAUCAAAUUUGUACAGCUAGCAUCAAAUUGCUUGCUUUGUGUAAAAAGCCAUAGGCUGUCAAUUCGGUUCGUGUGUCAAGUUGAAGAUGUCACCAUUAAGUCCUGGUGCAGAUUGCAAAGUUCCCAUGCGUCCACAUCCACAUAUUUGACAUAAAUUAAUGGGAAAGUGAAGGCACCUUUUAGUAUGGUAACUAUCGGCGAGAGGCUGAUCACGCUAUCCUACCAAGACCCGAUGAAAUGACGAUAUGCAUGC